ACGAACGCUGGCGGCGUGCUUAACACAUGCAAGUCGAACGGAAAGGCCCUGCUUUUGUGGGGUGCUCGAGUGGCGAACGGGUGAGUAACACGUGAGUAACCUGCCCUUGACUUUGGGAUAACUUCAGGAAACUGGGGCUAAUACCGGAUAGGAGCUCCUGCUGCAUGGUGGGGGUUGGAAAGUUUCGGCGGUUGGGGAUGGACUCGCGGCUUAUCAGCUUGUUGGUGGGGUAGUGGCUUACCAAGGCUUUGACGGGUAGCCGGCCUGAGAGGGUGACCGGCCACAUUGGGCCUGAGAGACGGCCCGGACUCCGACGGGAGGAACAAGGGGGGAAUAGUGCAAAAGGGGGGGAGGCCGGAUGCAGCACCGCCGGGUGGGGAGUGAGGGCCUUGGGUUUGAAAACCGUUUUCGCCGGUGAGAAAGGGUGAGGAAGGGAAAGGGGAAAAGAGACACCGGCUAAUUACGGC
rnacentral:rRNA from 1 species